rnacentral:rRNA from 1 species
UUUGUUUUUUAAUUAAAAACUAGAAUGAAAGAUUUUACAUUUUAAUUUCUUUAUUAAAUAUAAUAUAUUAAUUUAUAUUAAAUAUAAAAAUAUAUUUAUAAAAUAAAAAGACGACAAGACCCUAUUAAAUUUUACUUAUUGUUUAGCUGGGGCAGCUUUUUAAAUAAAAUUUUAAAAUUUAUUAAUACAAUAAUACAUUUACAUUAAAAUUAAAAAAAAUCUAUUAUAAUUAAACUAAUCUAAUUACUAUAGGGAUAACAGCGUUAUAUUUUUUUCAAGUUCAUAUUUAAAAAAAUUAUUGCGACCUCGAUGUUGAAUUAUAUUUCUUUAUUAAUGCAACAAUUAUAAAAGUAGGUCUGUUCGACCUUUAAAAUAUUACAU